AUUGAACGCUGGCGGCACGCCUUACACAUGCAAGUCGAACGGCAGCACGGGAGCAAUCCUGGUGGCGAGUGGCGAACGGGUGAGUAAUGUAUCGGAACGUGCCCAGUCGUGGGGGAUAACGUAGCGAAAGCUACGCUAAUACCGCAUACGAUCUAUGGAUGAAAGCGGGGGAUCGCAAGACCUCGCGCGAUUGGAGCGGCCGAUAUCAGAUUAGGUAGUUGGUGGGGUAAAGGCUCACCAAGCCGACGAUCUGUAGCUGGUCUGCGAGGACGACCAGCCACACUGGGACUGAGAAACGGCCCAGACUCCUACGGGAGGCAGCAGUGGGGAAUUUUGGACAAUGGGCGAAAGCCUGAUCCAGCAAUGCCGCGUGCAGGAUGAAGGCCUUCGGGUUGUAAACUGCUUUUGUACGGAACGAAACGGCGAACUCUAAUACAGUUUGCUAAUGACGGUACCGUAAGAAUAAGCACCGGCUAACUACGUGCCAGCAGCCGCCGUAA
rnacentral:rRNA from 1 species